AUGGCCUCCUCAAGCUCCGAUGUCGCCGCGCCUGCCCUCAUUCCCAUAGCCGACCGACUCCAUCGCUCCAACUUCCUAGUAUGGCGCGCGCAAGCCAUGGCAGCCAUCCGUGGGGCGCAGCUCGUCUCCUACCUCGAUCCAGAUCGGGAGCAGCCAGAUUUCAUCUUCAACUCCAUCUCAGCUCCUGUCAUGGUUCAGGUCGCACACUAUGACGCGGAGGCUGAAGCAUGGGCCACCAUCAGGGAGAUCUUCAUCUCCCAAACUCAGGCGCACGUCGUCAACACCAGGAUCGCCUUCUCCACCACCAAGAAGGGCAACUCGACGAUGUCCGAGUACAUCGGGCGCAUGAAGGCGCUCGGUGAUGAGAUGGCAUCGGUGGGCAAGCCGCUCACCGACGACGACAUGGUGUCCUACAUCCUGGCGGGACUCGACUACGACUACGUGUCCUUCGUCUCCACGAUCUGCGCUCGCACUCAGCAAAUCAAGGUGAGCGAGCUUUACUCGCAGCUGAUCAGCUUUGAAAGCAGGCUGGCCAUGUUUGAAGGCGGAGGGCAGUCCUCCCACUCCUCUGCCAACACCGUCUCUCGUGGCGGACGUGGUGGAUCCAACCGCGGUGGUGACCGCGGUGGCAACGAUGGCCGCAAUGGAGGCGGCCGUGGCAAUGGAGGAGGCCGCAACGAUCUGUCUGAGGUCUUCUGCCAAAUCUGCACCAAGCCAAAUCACACGGCCAUGGAGUGCUAUCAUCGUGUUGAUGUCUCGUUCAACAAGGAGAAAACUGCAGUAGCCGUCAACACCAACUCCUCCUACGGGAUCAACGACUCAGAUAAGAUGUUCUGCCGAGCAGACACCGCCGUGGUCUGUCAAUCCUCGCCCGCAAAACAUACCGCUUCGAUGCCUCCCUGUGACCAGAUAAAAAACAAAGGCGAAGUGCGUAAUCCUCGCUCAGAUCCAGGCCCCUGCGUGUGGUUCCUCCCGCACCCGGGCGAGGUGGCUGUCGUGGAGCGCCGGGUGGCGGGCGGAGAUGCUCCUCACGGGCUGGCGCCUGGAUCCGCGCCAUCGAGCUGUGCCGGAGCUUCUCCGACGAUCUUUGGCAGCGACCAUGGCGGGCGUAGCAGAGCGAAGGGUGCCGGCAGCCCGGUGUCAGUGCGCAGGGGAAGAUUCACUUCACAGCCGGCGUCCGGAUCCGCGCCAUCGAGCUGUGCUGGAGGUUCUCAGGGUGGUGGCGCGCUGCCCAGGGAGCACGACCAUGGGCGAAUCCAAGGGAGCACGAGAUAA
rnacentral:rRNA from 1 species